CCUGCCCCUAGAGUCAUUGCGGGUGUGGCUGCUGGGUCCCACGCCAUGGAGAGGUGGCAGAGAGGAGAAAAGCUGUCUACCCUCAGUGUUCUGACCUGUGAGCAUCUGGGUGAUCAGUAGUGUAACAUU